UUAUUCUUGCAGAAUAAAGGUGCUAACAAGCAUAAUCGGGAAUUCGGUGAAAAACCGAAGCUGUUUCCGCAACUGUAAGUACAGCUAGUAUAAAGGUUUACCACUGUCUUAACAGAGAUGGGAAGGUACUUUAUCACACAUUCGUUUUUUAUGUAAUGAACUGUACAAGCCAGGAGACCGACCUUUGUUUGAACGUAUAA
rnacentral:ncRNA from 2 species